UGCGUAGGCGGUUUGGUAAGUCUUGUGUGAAAUCUAUGGGCUCAACUCAUAGCCUGCACGAGAAACUGCCGGGCUCGAGUAUGGGAGAGGUGAGUGGAAUUUCCGGUGUAGCGGUGAAAUGCGUAGAUAUCGGAAGGAACACCUGUGGCGAAAGCGGCUCACUGGACCAUAACUGACGCUGAUGCACGAAAGCUAGGGGAGCAAACAGGAUUAGAUACCCUGGUAGUCCUAGCCCUAAACGAUGACUGCUUGGUGUGACGGGUACCCAAUCCCGCCGUGCCGAAGCUAACGCGUUAAGCAGUCCGCCUGGGGAGUACGGUCGCAAGGCUGAA
rnacentral:rRNA from 1 species